rnacentral:rRNA from 1 species
UCUAGCCAUGGGCAGGUUGAUGGUUGGGUAACACUAACUGGAGGACCGAACCGACUAAUGUUGAAAAAUUAGCGGAUGACCUGUGGCUGGGGGUGAAAGGCCAAUCAAACCGGGAGAUAGCUGGUUCUCCCCGAAAGCUAUUUAGGUAGCGCCUCGUGAAUUCAUCUCCGGGGGUAGAGCACUGUUUCGGCUAGGGGGCCAUCCCGGCUUACCAACCCGAUGCAAACUGCGAAUACCGGAGAAUGUUAUCACGGGAGACACACGGCGGGUGCUAACGUCCGUCGUGAAGAGGGAAACAAUCCAGACCGCCAGCUAAGGUCCCAAAGUCAUGGUUAAGUGGGAAACGAUGUGGGAAGGCCCAGACAGCCAGGAUGUUGGCUUAGAAGCAGCCAUCAUUUAAAGAAAGCGUAAUAGCUCACUGGUCGAGUCGGCCUGCGCGGAAGAUGUAACGGGGCUAAACCAUGCACCGAAGCUGCGGCAGCGACGCUUAUGCGUUGUUGGGUAGGGGAGCGUUCUGUAAGCCUGCGAAGGUGGCCUGUGAGGGUUGCUGGAGGUAUCAGAAGUG